rnacentral:lncRNA from 1 species
AAUUAGAGCAAUAGUUGGAUUCACAUUGAGCCCACACUAGAAACCACCUAUUUUGCAUACCAAUGCUCAAUUUAUGUGACCUCUUUAUACAAGUGAUUGUUGACCAGCAUAUGAAUUCUUAUCACCUGAUGAGAUUUAGAGAAAAAAAAAAUUCUUGGCUAGAAAUUUCCCUCAGACCAAUUAAGAGAUCUCUACACAAGAAUGGUACACCAUUUCAACUUAAAAAGCUGCUGUGAGAAUUUGAAGCAGUGUUAGGUGAGCAGUUACCCUAAUGACGGGCAUAUCCUGAAAUACAAGUAAAGUAAAGCCGCUUCUGUGUAAAACAGUCUGCGUCCAUCACUGUUUUUCAGCUUUUAGAACUGUAGAUUUUCCUAUAUAUUUUCAUUGGAUGAUUUGAAUUAGAUGGUUUCGUUUGUACUAUUGUUA